UCGAUUCCCUUAGUAGCGGCGAGCGAAACGGGAAGAGCCCAAACCAACAAGCUUGCUUGUUGGGGUUGUAGGACACUCUAUACGGAGUUACAAAGGACGACAUUAGACGAAUCAUCUGGAAAGAUGAAUCAAAGAAGGUAAUAAUCCUGUAGUCGAAAAUGUUGUCUCUCUUGAGUGGAUCCUGAGUACGACGGAGCACGUGAAAUUCCGUCGGAAUCUGGGAGGACCAUCUCCUAAGGCUAAAUACUCUCUAGUGACCGAUAGUGAACCAGUACCGUGAGGGAAAGGUGAAAAGCACCCCGGAAGGGGAGUGAAAUAGAACCUGAAACCGUGUGCUUACAAGUAGUCAGAGCCCGUUAAUGGGUGAUGGCGUGCCUUUUGUAGAAUGAACCGGCGAGUUACGAUUUGAUGCAAGGUUAAGCAGUAAAUGUGGAGCCGUAGCGAAAGCGAGUCUGAAUAGGGCGUUUAGUAUUUGGUCGUAGACCCGA
rnacentral:rRNA from 1 species